AACUGUCCUCCCGUCCUUUCUCCAAGGGACGUGGAAUUCAUCUGCCUUCUGAUACGUAGUUUUGAGGGACGAAGACGGCUAGUAAAAAUGGUCCCUUCCCCCAUCAUCAUUACGCUGCGUGGCUCAGGUGAGGCUGACUCACUCCCAGCAGCUGGGGUUGUCAAGACAUGGAAGCACGGCGCAUCAGGUGUUUCAUUUCUCUCUGAGGACGGAGACAGACCCAGCUGAAUCAGUGAAAAAAAAGCUCCCAUGAGAUUUCGAAGAAUUCUGACAAAAGAGGCCUUCCUUUCCCCAGAAACUGAGCUUCUAGAUCAUCAUAAGCCUGCCUCUUCCAGUUACUGUCUCUACUCCCCAGAUGAGGGAAAUUGAUGUUAGAAAGAGAAGAAAACAUUGCCGAGAAAGGCAAAUAGUUGAAGGUACUCUGAUAACACCGUUGGUGGUUUGAUUUGUUAAAACAAGGUUUUACUGCAUAGCCCUGACUGGCUUUGAACUGUUGACAGUCCAUUUGCCUCAGCCUCCCAACUAACUAGGAUUAUAGGGAGGUAUGAGCCGUUAUGGUUAGUUUGUAGAUGUUUUAAAAUUUUAAUAUAGGAUAUUUCAUUUCAUCAAAUUACAGAACAACUAAGAAGCUCUCACUUUGAGGUUUUUUUUUUUUUUUCCUCUCAAAAGAAAUUCCUGCUUCUGGCUAGUGUGUGUGAUUUGCAGGCAUCCACUGGUAUGAAUGGAAUCUUUGAACCUUGUGCUCAAAAGCAGAGCGCUUUGUACAAGGCUGGAGGGCAAAGUCGAAGAAAGGUAGUGGGCCUGGCUCUGGACAGGCUCAAUGGUGUCAUGUGCUAGUUAACUUCUCGGAUUCCCUAGCUGAGUGGCUUCCUUCUAAGCUUUGAUGACUCAUGCUUGGGUGAGCUGAGCUCCUGCGGUUGCCGAGCCUCUGAUUAGCUCUUCUGCAACAGCACACCUACAGACCCAGACUUCUCCAUUUGCCGUCGUUGAGCCCUUAGGCUCAGAUAUGCUCCUGGAGUUCCCAGUGUGGUGAUCAAAUACUCUUUUCUCUCUCUCUCUCUCUCUCUCUCUCUCUCUCUCUCUCUCUCUCUCUGUCUCUCUCUGUCUCUCUCUGUCUCUCUCUCUCCCCCCCUUUCUCAUUUCUUAGGGUUUUGUUAUUUAUAACUUUAAAUCUAGAUUAAUGUGUUUCUUGUGUUUCAUCAAGUUACAGUCAAACGUGUUGCUGAGUGAGUAUUAGAAAUUACCAAUUUUUUUUCUGUACUGUUUUGGCUUUGAGUGUGUAGUAGGUGUAUUGUGCUGGACCUGGAUCUGACUGUCUUUUGGGAAUCUUCGUACCGUGGCCUUAUUCACAGGGCUGCUUCUGUCCCAUCAGCCUUCCCUCUGGUCUGGUGGGACAUGUUUCAUGGGCAGUGAUCCCUGUGUACAUUGCCAUUCCUUCCACUUUGUCCACAGCCAACACCCUUUGCAAACAGCUCUUUAUUUAACCUUCCUUAAGUUGUCCUAUUCUUAAACCCUGAAUGCAACCUUUCUUGCCAUUGUCCCAACUGAUAGCAGAUUAAUCAUUGUUCCAGUGACACAGUAGAUUCUGACUGACAGUAAGAUGCUCUCCAAAGGACUGACAUUCUCACUUUUAAUUACAUCUACCGCACACGCGUCAAAACAUUUCAACAUACUGCCCAAGGGUUCCCUCCCCUAAACAUGAACAAUAUUUGUCUAUUGAGGAGAAAUUAAAUUUAAAACAAGCUAGAAGCUUGUUUCCCCUGACUCAUUUGUCAAGUAUAACAGGACUUGAGCAUCUAUAUAUGAAGAACUACUUGCUCACCUCAGAAUUUCUUUUUAAUUAUUUUUUAUUUAUUUUUAUUUAUUUUUAAUUUUUUUUACCUCAGAAUUUUUUAACCAGGGGAAAUAUUGUUUUUAAAUUUUCCCUUGGUCAAUUUAAAUCAUAGAUAAAGAUUUUAAAGUAGCACAAGAAAAAGACGAUUAAGAAUAAAACUUGGGGGUGGGUGUAAUGUGCGUUUCCAGCCUCUUAUUUUCUUUCUACUCUUUCUCGUCUCUGUUCCUUUGCGCAAUGGUGAAGGCCUGAAGUGCUAGUCCAUUCUUUCUCAUUAUCAAUCUCCUCGCUUCAACCGGCAGUGUUCAGUGUUAGCAUUCUUGAAACUGUUGCUUGUGGGGCGUGUUCAGUGGUACUGAUAUGGUGUUUUUAGUUGCAUACUGGGAAUGAAUCGCAGUUUGGCUAUUUCCCCCAGUAGCCAGUAAGAAAACACAUUUAAAAAAAAGAGAGAGAGAGAGAGAGAAACCUAUCAACAAUAGUACCAAAGGGCAUAAAACAUUUAUGCCUAACCUUAACUAAAAAUGUUCUUGGUACAAAUGAAGACAACUCUAUAACUUAUUGAAAGCAUACAGAAGAUGAACAAUGUAACAAAGGCAACAUAGCUCUCUGAACCGCCCCUUGGCUGGCAGGCAGAGGAGCACAGCAGACGCCAGCACAUGGCUCUUGGCCUGACUCAGGACUGGAAAGUUAUUUGACUACUAUGCACUUUGGUUUCUGCAUCUUGAAACCAGGAGAAAGAAAAAUCUGUUCUCCACAGGACUAUUGUGAGAGUCGAGUCAAUCACUGUAAACAAAAUGUUUAGAAGUGUGUGGCACAUCGCAAGCCCUUGCUGUAGGUUCAGUAGUUAUUUUCACCAUUUCUUACGUCAACCCCCAAUUCCAGCACCAUUUUUACAAUCAUGGCCAUCAGAGAGGCUAGCCACUCACCUUGUGUCAGUCACACUGUGCAUGACUGGAUUCCUGCUCUGAUCUAUCCGACUCAUGCUUUGAAGAUAAGGCAGAGAUAGUCAUUCUGACUUGGGCAGUCAUUCUAGAGUUCUUCUGAAAGAAUAAACAGAAAAUUUAAAAAGAAAACACAAAAUGGGAGAUUGUAUCAACAAUGCCAAUGUUUCUGUGAAAAUAGAAAAUAAUUAAGGUGGUGGUGGUAUGUUCUUUAUUGUGAUUGUGGGAUUCAUUGUGCAACUGUAAUCCUAGCUAAAAUUAUUAAAACUUUACAUUC
rnacentral:lncRNA from 1 species